rnacentral:rRNA from 1 species
AACGAACGCUGGCGGCAGGCUUAACACAUGCAAGUCGAACGCAUCCUUCGGGGUGAGUGGCAGACGGGUGAGUAACGCGUGGGAACGUGCCCUUCAGUUCGGGAUAACCCAGGGAAACUUGGGCUAAUACCGGAUACGUGCGAGAGCAGAAAGAUUGAUCGCUGAAGGAUCGGCCCGCGUCUGAUUAGCUAGUUGGUGGGGUAAUGGCCCACCAAGGCGACGAUCAGUAGCUGGUCUGAGAGGAUGAUCAGCCACAUUGGGACUGAGACACGGCCCAAACUCCUACGGGAGGCAGCAGUGGGGAAUAUUGGACAAUGGGCGAAAGCCUGAUCCAGCCAUGCCGCGUGAGUGAUGAAGGCCUUAGGGGUGUAAAGCUCUUUCGUCCGGGACGAUAAUGACGGUACCGGAAGAAGAAGCCCCGGCUAACUUCGUGCCAGCCGCCGCGGUAACAC